rnacentral:lncRNA from 1 species
AGGGCUUGGUGACAGGAGCGACGGCGACCCAGCGACCAGCGACGGCGACCCUGCGACUGCGAUGAAUGAACGCCUUCGCGACAGCACUCUCUGGCUCCCUCAGGCUCUCCUUCUGUCAAGCAUGGAGGUCGGAGGUGGAACCAUGGAAGAAUGGGAGAGAGAAGUUUUUUGUGGGUGAAUUGGGUGUAGCCGCGUAAAAGAAGAAGAAAGCUAGGGUUGUUUGUGGCUAAGUGGCCCUUUUAUACCUAGGUUAAAGGGCAACUUAGUAAAAACACACACCACUGAACCCCACUAUUCGGUUCGGUUCGGUUCG